AGAUGUCAAGACACGUCACGUGAAAGUUUAAUCAACGGAAAACUGUCAAUUUCAUCAGGAUCUCCACUCCACGUGACAGCUGAUCUAAUAUUCGAUAACCGAGAAGGACUGAAAAUCUGUUUUGUAGAUGGAAAAAUGUUGAAAGUACUGAGAUUUCCCUGUGUUGUGAUAUCAUGUGAAAUUCGAGUGCAGAUGAAUAUCUAGACCUAGUGACACACAUGAUGAGAAAUCCCUGGAGUCAUUGAUCAACGGAAGUAUCAGGGAACAACUUCUGAAUGGCAGGGGAAUGGGAAUGGAAAGCGAUUUGAUAUCAAAUUCCUAUUUUCACCGUUUUGUAAAUCACUUCCGUAUGCUGACAAGUGUCAAUUAUCAAUUUUAAUGCCACAAUGAUGCGUCAACACAAUUGGAGCAUCAUUCAUCCAUUCGUAAAAGAUAAAACAUCAAUCCUUUCUAUUUUCCAUUCUCUUUUCUCCCAAACAUCCGGAUUAUUUUGGAAAUGACUCUGGAUUGAGAAAUUUACGGAAGAAUUCAAGGCAUUUACAAAAAAAGUAUAUCAACUUUUUCUCUCACUUAUGAGACACUCCAGUUAUGCAAAUUAUUUGGUUGAACUCUUCGAUUGAUGAUGGAAGAUAUCUGUCAAAUGGAUUUUUCAGUCCCAGGUCUUAUCUACUUCCGGUAUGUCUCAAGGGGGCAAUUUUUUAAAGAAUUAUUUAAAGAAACUGCACAUUCCUGUCAUUCUGAAGGGAUUACUAGCUGAAGAAGAAAGGAGGAAUCGAUCACUGUUCAUAAAAUACGCCAACGGUAGCUGGGGGCGAAAUCCCACUCUCUGACGUCAAUAAAAUCGAAAG